UGUUUCGCCCUUUUCUCCUCGUUUCACGUCAGAAUAACAUGGGCGACACUGGCGACAUCUAGUAAUGAGUUUUGAAUCUUAAGUUUGUUACACCACACUGUCAGUCAGUCACAGACAAACAUGACAUUACACGUCGUAACUUUCAUAAGUUACUUAAAAAGUUUAACAGCUUAGAUCGGAUAACAAGUCAACUGUUUUUAAAUAAUUUCAGCUGAAGUUUUCAUGGCCCUGACCAACUCGUGACAAUAGAAAUGAAAUGGUCUAACCCAAUAAUGCAAGCUCACAACCUAUGUCUUCAGCAAAAUAAUUUUUGUUUCAAGUUGUAAAUCAUCAAGAUAUUAAUAUGCCUUCACCAGAUCCCAUUCUUUGUUGCUAUCAGUUUUGCAGACAGCAGCAAGAAAAUGCUGCUACUCAAGAUUUCAUGGUGACCAACACUUUGUUCUAAUUUAGGACAAUGUAAGGUUGGUAGAUUUGAGGUUAAUUCCUCUUCGCCACUGUUGUAGUUGUUUGGAAACCGACAAGAGAUUGCUGGAAUUGAAGACUGAUAAUUUGUGUAGAUUUAGAUAAAUUUCAAGUGCAUACCUGGGCUCACUUCUUUCUGUGUUCCCGUUUCCCUAACUAACCACUAACUAACGCCCGCCGGUGGUCACUCACCCGCUGUGACAACCAGGAGGAGGGGAGGGCUCUGGUCGAACGGUGACUUGGAAGGGCGCAUGAUCUUAUGAAAGCUUUUGGGAGGGUCAUGUUCCUAACCCGGAAGGAUACUAUGACUAUAUCUCUCCAGUAAAACUGGCCUCGUACUUCUCUCUUCUUCACUGGCCAGGUAAUUUCCCUGGGCACAGUUAGGGCAGUGUCACCUUCUGUCUUGAUUAAUUGCACUUCCAAGUUGGCAAAGUAUAGCGAUUUACAUUUAUGAACAGUGAUUACUUCGUGCUCGCUGCUCAUUUUAUUCUGCACACAUCAAGAAAUUGCAAUCAUCUAUCGCCAUAUAAUUUUCUAGCUUCUAGAUACUGUUCCUACAUAGUGCUGGGAGUGAUGGAAAUUUUGAAAACAAUUUUUGCAUUCCAUCGAUUUUGAUGCUAGUAUAAAUACAAAUUUUACAGCAUUAUUUACCAUGCUCAUAUUUGUUACAUUAA